rnacentral:rRNA from 1 species
GUCUUUUUGUAAUAUAUUUAAAGUCUAACCUGCCCACUGAAUAUUUUAAAGGGCCGCGGUAUUUUGACCGUGCAAAGGUAGCAUAAUCAUUAGUCUUUUAAUUGAAGGCUCGUAUGAAUGGUUGAACGUAGUAUUAGCUGUCUCAUAAAAAAUUAAAAUAGAAUUUAACUUUUUAAUUAAAAGGUUAAAAUAUUUUUAAAAGACGAGAAGACCCUAUAGAGCUUUAUAAUAUUUUUGUAUAAUUUAUUUAGAAAAAUUAAAAUAAUAUUUAAUCUAUUAUUUUGUUGGGGUGACAAUAAAAUUUAAUAAACUUUUAUUAAUUAUAAACAUUAAUUUAUGAGUAAUUGAUCCAGUUAUAUUGAUUAUAAAAUUAAGUUACCUUAGGGAUAACAGCGUAAUUUUUUUUAAGAGUUCAUAUCGACAAAAAAGAUUGCGACCUCGAUGUUGGAUUAAGGGUUAUUUUUGGGUGUAGAAGUUCAAAGUUUAGGUCUGUUCGACCUUUGAAUCCUUACAU